CACGUAGGGUGCGAGCGUUGUCCGGAAUUAUUGGGCGUAAAGAGCUCGUAGGCGGUGUGUCGCGUCGGCCGUGAAAACCUGCAGCUUAACUGUGGGCGUGCGGUCGAUACGGGCAUCACUGGAGUUCGGCAGGGGAGACUGGAAUUCCUGGUGUAGCGGUGAAAUGCGUAGAUAUCAGGAGGAACACCGAUGGCGAAGGCAGGUCUCUGGGCUGACACUGACGCUCAUGCACGAAAGCGUGGGGAGCAAACAGG
rnacentral:rRNA from 1 species